rnacentral:rRNA from 1 species
UACGGGGGGAGCAAGCGUUGUUCGGAUUUACUGGGCGUAAAGGGCGCGUAGGCGGUCAGCACAAGUCAGUUGUGAAAUCUCCGGGCUUAACUCGGAAAGGUCAACUGAUACUGUGCGACUAGAGUGCAGAAGGGGCAACUGGAAUUCUCGGUGUAGCGGUGAAAUGCGUAGAUAUCGAGAGGAACACCAGUGGCGAAGGCGGCUACCUGGACCGGUUCUGACGCUGAUGCGCGAAAGCGUGGGUAGCAAACAGG